UAAAGCGUGCGUAGGCGGCCCGUUAAGUCAGAUGUGAAAGCCCCGGGCUCAACCUGGGAACUGCAUUUGAAACUGGCGGGCUAGAGUUAGGUAGAGGGGAGUGGAAUUUCAGGUGUAGCGGUGAAAUGCGUAGAGAUCUGAAGGAACACCAGUGGCGAAGGCGACUCCCUGGACCCAAACUGACGCUGAGGUACGAAAGCGUGGGUAGCAAACAGGAUUAGAUACCCUGGUAGUCCACGCCGUAAACGAUGUCAACUAGCCGUUGGGCCCAAUUAUGGGUUUAGUGGCGCAGCUAACGCAUUAAGUUAACCGCCUGGGGAGUACGGCCGCAAGGUUAAAACUCAAAUGAAUUGACGGGGGCCCGCACACGCGGUGGAGCAUGUGGUUUAAUUCGAUGCUACGCGAAGAACCUUACCUACCCUUGACAUCCAGUGGAUUCGGCAGAGAUGCCUUAGUGCCUUCGGGAACACUGAGACAGGUGCUGCAUGGCUGUCGUCAGCUCGUGUCGUGAGAUGUUGGGUUAAGUCCCGCAACGAGCGCAACCCCCAUCACUAGUUGCCAUCAGGUAACGCUGGGAACUCUAGUGAAACUGCCGUCGUAAGACGUGAGGAAGGAGGGGAUGAUGUCAAGUCAUCAUGGCCUUUAUGCCCAGGGCUACACACGUGCUACAAUGGGGCGUACAAAGGGCUGCAACAUAGUGAUAUGAAGCUAAUCCCAAAAAACGCCUCUCAGUUCAGAUUGAAGUCUGCAACUCGACUUCAUGAAGCUGGAAUCGCUAGUAAUCGUA
rnacentral:rRNA from 1 species